rnacentral:snoRNA from 1 species
AGGUAUGAUCUCAAAAAUGUGGAUCUAAUUACUACAGUGCUUGCCAGAGCAGUUUUGAAAUGGUUUGAGGCCCUUGCUCUGCUCUCUCCAGAGCAAGGUUGUAGAAUUUCAGACAAUU